UCACUCUUCUUGGAGUCUUCUCAGUGAGCCCAGGACAGGGGUACUUGAGGCGUUUAAAGGAUGCUUCUCCCUUUCCCAGGCAGAUGCCACUUUCAACUCACCAAAUUGUACCCCUAAAAGCAGAGGAAGAACUACAAAGGUUAUAGCACUGUAGUCAUGCUGGCUUGCUGAUAAAGGGAGGAGGUACUGCCUAGAAAAUACCAGCAAAUGGGACUUUCCUCCUAAAGUUUAGCAAGGAACUGGGAGCAGAUGACUUGGAUGUGGACCAGCCCUCAUGGGAGUCAGCAUGGGGAGGUGGGUGAAUAAAGGGGACUUCUCAAACCCCGGGUCUCUCAUCACCUGUUGGUAAUGGAGCCUUCAAAUCCACUAACACCUCAUGGGGAAAGUGAUAGAGCAGCAUGGAGUUGUUCCAUUCUUGAGGUGUGUUAGGAUAACUUCUCAUUUCCAAUGAUUUGGGAAAAGCUACUGGAGAAGCUGCUGCUCCGGCUUUGAUUUGGGCUAAUAGAGAAGAACUGCUUGGGAAAAGAGGAAAAAAAGUAGGGACGUAAUUUCAGGAAAUAAAUCACAAAGCAAUGGAGUGCACAGUGCCAAGAGAAAGGGAGUGAGAACAGCAGAAUGAGGAUAAUGGUCUGCCAAAAAAAAUCUCCGGGAACUGGUAGGUGACAUCUCUAGGGAAGAUAAUCUGAGGGAUGAAGAGAGCAGGGAAGCUGGCAAUAACCUAAAACGACUGUAUUAGGGGCACCAAAACAAGCCAUCUUGAUGCAGAGGGACAAGAGAAAGGUGGCUCAGAGACCUGGUGGAUGUGACUCCCUAAAGGAGUUGCAGAGAAAGGGAAAUGAAAACGGGGGCCCAGUGAUGAGGAGAGCAGAUGCACAAAUACAAGCAGAACAAGUUCUAAUAGGCCAUCAGUUUAAUGGCUGUGGAAAAGUAUUUUCUAAAUGCAUGGGAAGGAGAAUGAGAGCUAACGAGAGCCCAAGCUCUUUGCUUCUUGAAUGGAGGAGAGCCAAGAGUCGCAGUGCAGGAACCCUGUGUGGGCUGAGCUUCAGCCCUCCCUCCCAUUCAGCUCAUUAGGAUGGGAUAAUCACACCAGGCUCCAAUCCAGCCUGGAGAACAUCCUCCAGGGCAUUUAGAGUCAAGUGUGCUCAUGUCAGCAGGGCCUUUGCAUAGCUAACCCAACUUCUGGGGCAUGCAGUGUUUCUCCAAGUCCUGCAGGAGCAUAGCGGUCUGGGAGCACCAUGGUGGGGCUGCACAAGAAAUCACCAGCAGGAACUCAAAAAUGGCCAUUGAUGGGACUGAAAGAAGGGCUGGGGACCUUGUGCUGAGCUUCAGGAGGAGGUGAGUGAAUCAGUUGCUCUACCUCAUCCCCUGCAGUUUUGCCAGCAUCGCUGCAAGCCGAUGAGCUCACUCGUGUCUGUCCCAGCCAGUCACUGCCACACAGUGCAGCCCACAGGGACCAUCCCUGCCCUACAGCCGUGCUGCAGCCACCGGCUCAUCCCAGUCACCGUCAUCUCUGCUGCCGGUGCUCCUCAUCUUCAUCCGUGCCAUGGACUGCCCCCCAUCCCUGUCUCUUGGGUUCAGAGACCUGAAGAAAACCUCAGGGUUUGCUCAAGGCUUGUUUUCCAUCUCUUCUGCCCUUUUCCUCAUACUACAGCACAGCAUCCCUGCUGCCCAUCACCUCUGUGCUGUGUCCCCGGGGACCGCAGUCCUGCCGUGCUCUUUGCAUGUCCGUGUUUGUCUUAGUGGUUGACCCCUUCAGUUGAUGUUAGCCUCCCGGUCACCUCCACCGCUGCCUGUCACAGCCAAUUAGAAAUAUAGUCAUCUCUGCAUCGUGAUCCUUGUUAAACCAACCAUCCCUUCUACCUGCUGCAGUCGUCACCUCAUUAUAACUCCAUUACCUUUAACAACAACUCCAUUACCAUCCAUUAUCUUUCUUAUCAUCUCCUUUACAAGGCUGUUAUCUGUACCUCCUCCUCUCCAGCUAUCCCCUCCUCAAUUACAAUACCAUUAUCUUUAUUACCACCCCAUUAGAGUCAUAAUUAUUCCCAUUACAAUUCCAAGAUCUGUGCCUCCAUCCAGACACCCCGUUGUCUCCAGCAGCCCCAUUACCACCACCAGCACUGCUCCUCCUGUCCUCCCUUAGAUAGCACUGUAACCGCCUCCCUCCCUGCAUUCCUAAUCAUCCCCAUGCCAACAGCUGUCUUUUAAUUAUUUUUCAUUACAGUUUUAUUGUGUUUUGCUGUUAUUACUUCCUUUACCAGCCAUUCUGCUGGAGUGCUGUGAUUGGAAUCAGUACCUGGGUGGGAGCUGGCACUCAGGUCUGUGGUGUUACGGCACUAUACUGACUAGCACUAGGCCUGAGUGGGUAUCUUCACCCCAUCCUCCAUCAUAAUUCCAGCAUUUCCACAUCUGCUGUAGCCUAUUUACUGGCAUUUUCCUUGCACCAGCCUCCUGCUCAUCCCCAUUGGAUGGGCACGGCCCCUGCUCCAGCCACCAGAGCUCCUCUCCUCCUGCCUAGGCAGAGCAGCAUCCCCAACCCUCUCUGAUUUCCCAUACCUACAGCUGGCAACAGCUCUAGGCACAGUUUAAUCUCUUCAUUAACCCCCGUUAUCAUAGGGCAAGAAGUGUUUUGUUUGCAGAAGUACCAACUUCCUGAACUCCCAACUUCCCAUGGCACAGCCCUGAGCACUGCAUCCCAUUGGUGCUCCUCUCCGUGUGGCUGCUGUGUUUUGGGCACUGCCAAAACCAUCUGCCUGUGACCACAGCACCAGCACCUUCCCCAAACCACCCCAUUCACUCAGGAAUGAUAUUGGAAAGCUCUUCCAUCAGCACUGAUGGGAGGGAAUGUUUCUUGCUUGGCAUCAGCACCACACCUGUGGUUUUUGGGGUCUGGCGGUGCUGUAUCUCUCUGAAUCUCGUGGGAAUGAUUCAGAGUAGAGCAGAGUUUUUUAAGAAGUCUGUGUGGCUUAUCCAGAGUGAUCGGAGCAUUGUAACACAGGUCUUACUGCCUCAUCGCAGCCCUUACUCUGUGUGCAGGAGCACAGAACAUUGCCAGCUAAAGCUGUGAGCACCUAAACCUGGCACUGGGGAAGGUGCUAGGAUGGGCUUCUCCAUCCAUGGGGCAUCGUCCGGGGAGAUGGGAUUGACUGGGGAAUGGAGGGAGCUGUGCAGGGGAAAGGCACCAUUCUGAGAGUGCUUUGCUCUGCCUGUGGGCUGCUCAGCAAAGGAGUAUGUGGAAUCAGAGCAGUUACAGAGAGUCACAAAAUCAUCAGAGGAUGAGGAGACUGCCUCGCUGGAGAGUUGCAGAGAGCUGAGCCUGCUCAGUCCAUCAGGAAGAUGGAGAGGUAGCUUCAUUUGUUCCCAUAAGAACUGUCAAGGCAGGGAAACACUAAAGAAGGUUCUAAAGACCUCCUGAGCACUGAGAGAAGAGCAGAGCUAGGUGGCAGGGAGCGAAGGCAGCAGGGCUGGGGAUGCGAGGAUGCUCAGUCUGUGUGCGGGCAGUGCUCAGUGGAGCUGAUGGACCCACCCCGCUGGGAUCGUGGACGCUGGGAAGGGCCGGUGGGUAAUUAACGCUGCGGUGUGAACCGCAAUUUCGAUCAGGUUGGAAUGCCCCGGGGUUAUUUCCCACGAUCGAUGCGCAUCAUAAAUAAUGCAUCUGCGGUGGGGCGGGUGUGUGUGUGUGUGCGUGUGUUGGAAUGCUGCUUUUCCUUAUCAGAUGCAGAGCUCUGAGUGGAUCGGCGGCGCUGAGAGGGAGCACGGCUCAGAGCAAAGGGUGAAAAAGAGGAAUAAACACAUGGAGGAGGUUUGGAUAAUUCCAGCUCUGCCGAAGCAGACCAAAGGGAGAUGGUGCAGCUACUAUUUCUGGAAUCUGAUAGGGUGGAUAUAAUAGAGGGAGGAAGGGGAUUUGGGAGUCAGAGGGAAGGAUUUAGAAGGAUGGGGCAGCACUAGGUUCCCUGGCUUUCAGUUUCUAUCUAGAGCCUCAGGUUGCCUUUCGCAGAGCAUCAGCCAGGCUUGCCCAAGGGAUCUGCCUGACUGCCACCACGGUCAGGUGAUCCUUUGCAAGGUGACUCUCCAGCCAGUCCAGUUCAUAACUCAGGGUCUUAGCCCACAUGGCCCCGUUUUCCAUCUCUUGCU